AUUGAACGCUGGCGGAAUGCUUUACACAUGCAAGUCGAACGGCAGCACGGACUUCGGUCUGGUGGCGAGUGGCGAACGGGUGAGUAAUGUAUCGGAACGUGCCCAGUCGUGGGGGAUAACGUAGUGAAAAUUACGCUAAUACCGCAUACGAUCUAUGGAUGAAAGCGGGGGAUCGCAAGACCUCGCGCGAUUGGAGCGGCCGAUAUCAGAUUAGGUAGUUGGUGGGGUAAAGGCCCACCAAGCCAACGAUCUGUAGCUGGUCUGAGAGGACGACAAGCCACCCUGGAACUGAGACACGGUCCAGACUCCUACGGGAGGCAGCAGUGGGGAAUUUUGGACAAUGGGCGAAAGCCUGAUCCAGCCAUUCCGCGUGCAGGAUGAAGGCCCUCGGGUUGUAAACUGCUUUUGUACAGAACGAAAAGGUUUCUACUAAUACUAGGAGCUCAUGACGGUACUGUAAGAAUAAGCACCGGCUAACUACGUGCCAGCAGCCGCCGUAA
rnacentral:rRNA from 1 species